CUAAAGGGUCUAUUUAUACUUAUUACAAAUAAUAACAAAAAUACCCUUAAUGAUGGGUGCUCCUUUGGAGUGUAAAAAUAGGUCAUUAAAAGAUAAGAAUGCCCUUAAUGAACCCCCAAAUAGAGGCGGCUUUGGAGCGUAUUUCAAAGAUCCUCUUCACACUUUAGCAUAUACACUCCAAUAGGUGAACUCAUGAAACAAUCACAAGCUUCCAACUUCGUGAACAUUUCUUGAAGACCAUGUAGCUUUUUGACUUGAUUCCUUGUAAAAGGUCUUGUGCUCUUGGUGCUUAUCAUGCUUGUAUCAUCCUCUCCAUCUUGAAUGGAAUUUGUCCCCAAAUUCACAUCUAGCAACACCAAAGAGAGAAGAAAACAAGCACACAAUCCUCAUGGUAGGAGGGUUAGCAUUAGUACCACAAAUGAUAUAACCAUGCCAAGGAGGUACACUCUUGGAAUAUAGCCAAAAAUCCUUUGUUAUGAUCACAAAACACUCACUACAAGCAUCACAAAGGACUUGGAUAAGAUAGACAUCAAGGAAAGAGGAGUGCAACAAAAGACCAUCAUAUAUAUCAAUAAGCCAAGGUUGUUCACAUUUGAAAUACAUCCACGAGUCCUUUGUGUGUGACAUGAAAAGCUUAGCAUGAAUGGAACAAAAGAGGUAGUUUUGGAAAAUAUCAAGAGAUAAGGAAACUACAAUGGUCUUAAUGGCUUCACUAUACCUAAAAGGUAAGACUACCUUUGGCUUAGGAACCAUAAGAUACAUUUGUCUCAUUAUCUCUACAAAGGACCCCGUCAAAUAUGGUGCCACUAUUGUUCCUAAGGUCCACCUCAUCCAUAUAUCAUCAUCAUUCAAACAAUGAAACCAGCCACCAAACUUUCUACCUCUACAUAAUACAUCAUGCCGAGGGGGUACACUUUGAAAAUACAAAAACAAUCCCUUUUCCUUCACACUAGUACACCAGGAUCAAAUGGAUAAAGGGGCCAAGGGAAUAAACCGAGGCUACUCAUUCCAUUUACUAGGGUAUCACACUCACCAAAAACAUUAUUAAAGAAGGAAGCAUGUACUUCUACACUAGAUAUACCCAAAAUCACAUCACAAUAUUUUAAACUCAAGGGAAUGUAGAAUGUACCCAAGUUACCUUGGUUUGUACUAGGGCAGCCUAAUAGUGUGUGAAUACUCUUGUCACUUGGUAAUAUGACCUUAUUCAAGUUAUAAGUUCUAGCACUAGAUGGACACAAAUCAUUCUUACAAAAAGAAUUGAUUUUGUCAUCUAAAGAAUCAAUUAGUGCUUGCACACUCACAACAAGAGUUUGGUCAUUAUGCAAACUAAAAACACCAAGAGUAUCAUAAAAGGAAGAUUCAUAGACUUCUUCACUAAGACAAUCCAAAACUACACCACUUUGGUCAUUACUAGCCACUUUACAACAAUUCAAGUUUCUAGGAGUGUAGGAGAGAGCUAUAUUACCUUGUAGAUCAUGGGAAGUGUUUUCUUCACUUGGUUUCACAUCAUGGCAGCCCUCAUACCCCACAUUAUAAGGGAAUAGGUCAAGGUUUCCCUUUGGAUUCACUUCUUCAUCGCUUGUUCCCAAAUAGGGACUUUCGGCUAAGGGCUUGAAGGGAACUUCCUUGGGCUUCUCCUUGGGACAUCUAGGGUCUUGAACCUGCACAUGAGAAGGUAAAAUACUAGUCAAAAUGCUAGUAUUUGGGUUAGUGAGUAAUAAGGAUUCUUUGUGGACAA
rnacentral:lncRNA from 1 species